rnacentral:lncRNA from 1 species
AGUUGACAUUUUUUCAUAAUAUAUGUCUUUCAUACGUGAAUUUAUAGCUUUAAUACUGCAUGGUGUAGGGGUUGCUCAUCCUCUUAAGCCGCACACAUUGGCGGUUUAAGGGACAAAGUGCGCUGCCCGAUCAUAAGGAGCUUGAUCAUACUAUAUAAAGCUUCGUAUGGUACACAUGAGCAGCUUUAGGGACAGAGUGCGCGGUCCGAUCAUAAGGAGCUUGAUCAUAUUAUAUAAAGCUUCGUAUGGUCUGUACACAUGGGCGGCUUUAGGGCAGAGUGCGCGGCCCGAUCAUAAGGAGCUUGAUAUAUAUUAUAUAAAGCUUCGUAUGGUACACAAGGGCGGCUUUAGGGACAGAGUGCCCGGCCCGAUCAUAAGGAGCUUGAUAUAUAUUAUAUAAAGCUUCGUAUGGUACACAUGGACGGCUUUAAUUUAGGGACAGAGUGGGCAGCUUUAGGGUCAGAGUGCGCGGCCCGAUUAUAAGGAGCUUGAUAUAAUUAUAUAAAGCUUCUUAUGCUACACAUGGGCGGCUCUAGGAACAAAAUUCGCGGCCUGAUAAUAAGGAGCUUGAAAUAUAUUAUAUAAAGUUUCAUAUGGUACACAUUGGCGGAUUUAGGGGCAGAGUGCGCAGCCCGAUCAUAGGGAGCUUGAUAUCAUUAUAUAAAGCUUUUUAUGGUACACAUGGGCAGCUUUAGGGACAGAGUGCGAGGCCCGAUCAUAGGGAGCUUGAUAUAAUUAUAUAAAGCUUCUUAUGGUACACAUGGGCGGCUUUAGGGACAGAGUGCGAAGCCCGAUCAUAAGGAGCUUGAUAUAUAUCAUAUAAAGCUUCGUAUGGUACACAUGGGCGGCUUUAGGGACAGAGUGCGACGCCCG